GGAGCGGGCCGCGCGGCCGCUCGCGGCUUCGCGCCGCGGGAGGAAAGUCCGGGCUCCGCAGGGCAGGGUGGUGGAUAACGUCCACCGGGGGCAACCCCAGGGAAAGUGCCACAGAGAGCAGACCGCCCCGGGCCUCGGCCCGGGGCAAGGGUGAAACGGUGCGGUAAGAGCGCACCAGCAGCCCGGGUGACCGGGCUGGCUCGGCAAACCCCACCCGGAGCAAGGCCGAAUAAGGAGACGUUCGAGGGUGGCCCGCCCGAUGUCUCCGGGUUGGCCGCAUGAGGCGGAGGGCAACCUCCGUCCCAGAUGGAUGGUCGCGGGCCCGCCCCUCGGGGCGGGCGACAGAACCCGGCUUACAGGCCCGCUCCGGUU
rnacentral:RNase_P_RNA from 2 species